rnacentral:rRNA from 1 species
CAAUAAGCGGAGGAAAAGAAACUAACAAGGAUUCCCCUAGUAACUGCGAGUGAAGCGGGAAAAGCUCAAAUUUAAAAUCUGAUAGUCUUUGGCUGUCCGAGUUGUAAUCUAGAGAAGCAUUAUCCGCGUUGGACCGUGUACAAGUCUCCUGGAAUGGAGCGUCAUAGAGGGUGAGAAUCCCGUCUUUGACACGGACUGCCAGGGCUUUGUGAUGUGCUCUCAAAGAGUCGAGUUGUUUGGGAAUGCAGCUCAAAAUGGGUGGUAAAUUCCAUCUAAAGCUAAAUAUUGGCGAGAGACCGAUAGCGAACAAGUACCGUGAGGGAAAGAUGAAAAGAACUUUGGAAAGAGAGUUAAACAGUACGUGAAAUUGCUGAAAGGGAAACGCUUGAAGUCAGUCGCGUUGACCAGGGAUCAACCUUGCUUUUGCUUGGUGUACUUUCUGGUUGAUGGGUCAGCAUCAAUUUUGACCAUUGGAAAAAGGUCAAGGGAAUGUGGCAUCUUCGGAUGUGUUAUAGCCCUUGGUUGCAUACAAUGGUUGGGAUUGAGGAACUCAGCACGCCGCAAGGCCGGGUUUUUAACCACGUACGUGCUUAGGAUGCUGGCAUAAUGGCUUUAAUCGACCCGUCUUGAAACACGGACCAAGGAGUCUAACAUGCCUGCGAGUGUUUGGGUGGAAAACUCGAACGCGUAAUGAAAGUGAAAGUUGAGAUCCCUGUCGUGGGGAGCAUUGACGCCUGGACCAGACCUUUUGUGACGGUUCCACGGUAGAGCAUGUAUGUUGGGACCCGAAAGAUGGUGAACUAUGCCUGAAUAGGGUGAAGCCAGAGGAAACUCUGGUGGAGGCUCGUAGCGAUUCUGACGUGCAAAUCGAUCGUCAAAUUUGGGUAUAGGGGCGAAAGACUAAUCGAACCAUCUAGUAGCUGGUCU